rnacentral:rRNA from 1 species
GUCGGUGUUGAUUGCGGUGAGGGUCCACCCGUUCCCAUUCCGAACACGGCAGUUAAGCUCAUCUGCGCCGAAAAUACUUGGCUGGCGACGGCCCGGGAAGAUAGGUAACGCCGACA